rnacentral:rRNA from 1 species
ACAUCCAGAGAAUUUAGCAGAGAUGCUUUAGUGCCUUCGGAACUCUGAGACAGGUGCUGCAUGGCUGUCGUCAGCUCGUGUUGUGAAAUGUUGGGUUAAGUCCCGCAACGAGCGCAACCCUUAUCCUUUGUUGCCAGCACGUAAUGGUGGGAACUCAAAGGAGACUGCCGGUGAUAAACCGGAGGAAGGUGGGGAUGACGUCAAGUCAUCAUGGCCCUUACGAGUAGGGCUACACACGUGCUACAAUGGCGCAUACAAAGAGAAGCGACCUCGCGAGAGCAAGCGGACCUCAUAAAGUGCGUCGUAGUCCGGAUUGGAGUCUGCAACUCGACUCCAUGAAGUCGGAAUCGCUAGUAAUCGUAAAUCAGAAUGUUACGGUGAAUACGUUCCCGGGCCUUGUACACACCGCCCGUCACACCAUGGGAGUGGGUUGCAAAAGAAGUAGAUAGCUUAACCUUCGGGAGGGCGUUUACCACUUUGUGAUUCAUGACUGGGGUGAAGUCGUAACAAGGUAAGCGUAGUGCU